rnacentral:lncRNA from 1 species
GAGCAAUAAAGCUGUUUAUUUCACCUGGGUGCAGGUGGGCUGAGUCCGAAAAGAGAGUCAGCGAAGGGAGAUGGGGUGGGGCUGUUUUAUAGGAUUUGGGUAGGUAAAGGAAAAAGGGGGGUUCUCUGGCGGGCAGGAGUGGGGGGUCACAAGGUACUCAGUGGGGGAGCUUUUGAGCCAGGAUGAGCCAGGAGAAGGAAUUUCACAAGACAAUGUCAUCAGUUAAAGCAGGAACAGGCCAUUUUCACUUCUUUUGUGGUGGAAUGUCAUCAGUUAAGGCAGGAACUGGUCAUCUGGAUGUGUACGUGCAGGUCACAGGGGAUAUGAUGGCUUAGCUUGGGCUCAGAGGCCUGACAGUGAUCUAAUUCUUUUUUAACAACUGCAAACAUAGAUGUACUGUGAUUGAUUUAACGUAUACCCUAUUGUCUUAGUCUGUUUGGGC